rnacentral:misc_RNA from 1 species
GAUGAAGAACGCAGCGAAAUGCGAUACUUGGUGUGAAUUGCAGAAUCCCGUGAACCAUCGAGUCUUUGAACGCAAGUUGCGCCCGAAGCCACUAGGCCGAGGGCACGCCUGCCUGGGCGUCACACGUCGUUGCCCCCCACCAUCUACUCCUUCGGGAUUGCGGGGGGCGGAUGAUGGCCUCCCGUGCGCCUAGCCGCGCGGUUGGCAUAAAUACCAAGUCCUCGGCGACGCACGCCACGACAAUCGGUGGUUGCGAAACCUCGGUUGCCCGUCGUGUGCGUUCGUCGCGCAUCGAGGGCUCGAAAAAAUGCUCGGCUCCGGCUCGGCUUUCAACGCGACCCCAGGUCAGGCGGGGUUACCCGCUGAAUUUAAGCAUAUCAAAAGCGGAGGA